rnacentral:rRNA from 1 species
GGGACGAACGCUGGCGGCGUGCUUAACACAUGCAAGUCGAGCGGUGACCCUCCUUCGGGAGGUGAUCAGCGGCGAACGGGUGAGUAACACGUGGGCAACCUGCCCCUCACACUGGGAUAACCUCGGGAAACCGGGAUUAAUACCAGAUACGACCACUUUAGACAUCUGUUGUGGUGGAAAGAAUUUCGGCUAGGGAUGAGCUCGCGGCCUAUCAGCUUGUUGGUGAGGUAACGGCUCACCAAGGCGACGACGGGUA